rnacentral:lncRNA from 1 species
GAGAGAGAGAGGUACCUGUUUGAGGAGAGAAACAGAGGUAUGGAUGCCAGGACUGGAGAGAUCGAUGCAGUGUAAAGCAGAAAUGUUGGUGGAAGCAAUUCCAUUCUUGUUCGAAUUCGCCAUUAUCCGUUCCUGCGUUAUUCGUUACUCGAUGAAAUUGACGUUCUUCUCUUGUUUCCUCGGCUCAACUCGAGAGAGUGCGUGGAGAGACAGUUUUACGGUUUGUUUGGAUGUUUUUACCCAUGGUAUGUUAUUGUAUUGUUAUGCUAAACAAUGUUUUGUUUCAAUUGUUUUAUUAAAAUUGAUUGUAUUGUAUUGUUAAAUUCAUUAUUCCGAAAUAAUAAAAAAAAAUUAUUUUUUAAAAUAAUCGAUUUGGUGUAAUGAAAUUAUUUCCUUUUUUUCCAAUUAUGCCCUAACUUAUUACUCCAUAAUUCUAUUUUACCCUUUACCUUCUUUUUUUUAACAACAAAUGUCCAACAUAUAACCUAGUUUGUCUUCGUCCCUUUUUUUCAGAAUUUCUGUCGCUUCCAACUAUAACGCCAUAUGUGUUUUGCCUUCUUUUGUUUCGUUUUUUCUCCUAAUUUGAUUUUAUCUCCAAUUCUAAUUAUCUUUGUUAUGCCAAUUCUCGUUCCUUUCUUUAUCAUAGUUCUUUAACAUUUUAUUUUUUGUUUUAUUAUUAUUAUUAUCAUCUAUUUUUUGGAGUGUACUUAUUAUUGUUUUUAAUAUUAUUAACUUGUUUCACUAAUUGUUUUUAGAAUUUGCAUGAAUUUAAUUGCUUAAUCUAUUUAUAAGAUAUAUUUGGUGAUAAAUUAGUAGAAAAAGAUUUUCUUAAAUUAUUUUUAUGCGUAAUUCUGGAUAAAUUUAAUAUUUAAACAAUUGAGGGUAUUUUAGUAAACUUAUCGGUUACAGUACAGUACGAUACAAUCAAAUAAAACAGAAAAAUGUUAUUUAACAAUAACAAAUAAUACAAUCUAUCCAAACAUUAUAUUCAUAAAAUGAUACGAUACGAUACAAUACAUUAUAAAACGAUAGGUAACAAUGAUCCAAACAGAGUUUAGUGCAAGUAGUGAAACAACGUCACACCGACGUGCUUAUAUGGAAUUUCAUUUUGUGUUAAAAAAAAGAUUUUUUUUUUUUUUCGUUUUAACCAUUUGAUAUUUCAAACCCUCUUCGCCCACUAAUUUAUAUUUGCGUAUAAACUAGAAGUUUUCCAUUUAUAAGACUCACUCCCGAAAGCUCUAUAUUCUCAAAUAGAUCGAAUAUAUCUUCACUUAUAAGAUUUAAAUUCGAGGCCUCUAUUUAGAGGAACACCCGAAUCAUUCUACCAUAUUUACUAAGUAAUUUCCACAUGCGUACUAUCCAAGCAGAGUUUUUGUCAUAUUGAAGUAGUAGUACGAGUAUAGACAAUUCAACAUCUUGACAAACAAUCGAGUUAAUAACUACCAAACUCAUUUGACACAUCAUAUCGUGGGGAUUCCUUUUUGCUUCUAUAUUGUUGUUUUAGUUCAUUUUUAAUCACGUGUAUGUGGAUAUGUCAAGUACCAUUUCAGCAAUGGGUCAAUUUUUAAAACCCAAUAUUGUACUUUUGAGGUCAGUUGGGAAUCUGCCAACUUUUAAAAGCCCAAUAUUAGCCAAUCUGAUUCCUGAACAAAUUCUUGAAGGUAAUGCAAUAUUUAUGAAGUAAUUAUUUAACUAGUUGAUUCCUUCAAAAAGUUAAGAAGAAUAUAUCUUUGGUUAUUUUCAUUCGAAAGGCUCAAAUCGCGAGAUAUUUGAUCAAGAAUAAAAGAAUCUUAUCCAUCUCACCUAAGGGUGGCAUGUGGACCGGUCACGGACCAAACGGUCUUCUGGGCCUAAACGGGCCUGAACCGGUUAGAACCGGCUAAGUGGGCCUAGUUCGGUCUUCUGGGCCGGUUCUUCACUUUAGGACCGCGAUCGGACCGGUCUUGGCGGACCCAAACGGUCCCAAUGAUCAAAAAUUUAAAAAAAGAAAUUCUGCCCGUUUGGGCAUUUAAAAAGUAGCUGUUGGGUCUGCCAAAAUAGCCGUUGGCUAUUUACGAAAUAGCCAUUUAAUCCCCCCUUUCAACUUUGUUUUUAAUCCUAAACUUUUUAUAAUUAUAUUUUUUUCCCUAUUUUCAACUAUAAAUACCCCCUCAUUCUUUCAUUUUUCUCACAAAAUCAUCAAUCUCUCUCUAAUUUUCUUCUAUAAUUGUUACUAUUGCUUACUUUAUUGUUACAAUUUGUGAAACAAUUGUGAAGUUGGUGAAUUAAAAUCUUCAAGUCUUCAACGAUAAUCAAUUUUUAACAAGUUAUUCGUCACUUCGAUAAACUCGUUCCAACUCUUAAUUUUUAAUAUUAUAGUUUUGUUUGUUUUAUUUAUUUUCUAUUAUUUGAUUAAUUAAGAUGGCUUCCUUAAAAAUCUUUUUGGUAAAAAUAAGCAAAAAUCCAAGAGUGGCGAAUCUGUUCCUCCUCCACUGCCCCCGGCUCCCCGACCCAAACCUCAUAUCCGUCAUACACUUGCUAUUCUUGAUAGUGAUAAUAGUUUAUUACAAUUUACUGAGAGUCAAUUUUGCCAUAAUGCUGGAGCUGGUGAACAAUUAGACCAUGAAUUAAUGAAUGCUCUUUAUUCUAAUCCAACUAUUGAUAAAAAUAAUGAUGAGGAAAUAGAUUUUGAUAAAACUCAACCGGAUGACGAUACACCCACUAGUCCUGCUCCUGAAGUUAACCCAACUAGUGAUAAUCCAAAUGAUGCUCCAUCUGAUACUCAUGUUACUGUCCCUACUUUUUCUAGACAACGUAUCAAACGGACAUAAACAUCUAUUGUUUGGCCAUUUUUUACUCAACUAAUUCCACAAAAUAAGGCUAAGUGUAAAACUUGUGGCAAGGAGUUAGCUUUUAAAUAUUUUGGAGAGGAGGGAUGAGAACUUUGGCUAGACACAUAUUGAUACACCCUCAAGAUAAAAUCAAAUAUCUUCGUGCCAAAGCUUUGGUCGAGGGGACAAGGGUACCUACUCCUAGUCAGGCUGACCCUAGUACCGGGUCAAAUCAAUUUCAACCGGGAUUGAUUAGGAUUGGAUAAUGCAAAAGCGCAUUAGUGAUAAAAUAAUAUCAAUUUCAAUGGAUAAUGUUACUAGUAACAUAUAUGUUGUAGCCUUGCUUACCACUACACUAAAUCCUGCAUUUAGUAACAUUUUUCAUGUUAGAUGUAUUUGUCAUAUUUAUCAUUUAAUUGUGGGUGAUGGUAUGAGAAUUUUAAAUAUUGGAAUUGAAAGGUUAAAAUGGCUCUUAACUGCCUUUUUUAUUCAAACCGUAGAAGUAGACUUAGAGAACAUUUUAAAAGAUGCGGUGAAUUUGGCCUAAGAGAAAGAAAGGUUCCUAAACCUUGUCCAACUAGAUUAAAUUACAUGUAUGAAAGUUUAGUUGUUGCAUAUGAAUAUAGAUACCCCAUAAACUCAACGUUUAAUGCUCAUGUAAGUGAUGAUGAUGAGCACAUUACAAAUGCGGAUUGGGCUAAUGUUAAAAUACUUGUAGAUUUUUAGAAAAAUUUCAUAUUGCUACAAAUGAAUUUUCUGGGUAAUAUUAUCCUACUAUUUCUAACUGUUUAGUUUAUAUUGUAGAACUUGCAAAUUUAUUUGCUCAUUUUUUAGAGGGUGGGUAAAUUUAUAAACUUGCUAUUGAUUCUAUGAGAAAAAAGUUUUAAAAAUAUUUUUUCCGUAUUCCCCCUAUUUAUGGUAUGAAACUGUUUAUAAAGGUUUAGCACUUGAAGAUGAGGAGUUGUCUAAACUUCCGGAAGCAAUAGCAUCAAUUAGAAUAAAUGCUCAAACUAUUUAUAAUGCUUAUCAAGUUGUAUUAGAUCAUGCUAGACCAAAUGUUCUAACUCCUUCUUCUUCUGAUUCUCAAUCAUCUAAAAGAACUGCGGGAGUAAGAGCACCUAGUGCUUGGAUGGGGUUUAGGGGUUCUCAAGGUUCUACUAGUAGUGAUUUUUCACAAUUAAAUGAGUUUGAAGUUUAUUUGUCACAGAGAAUUGAGAAAGUGAAUCCCGACGGCUCCUUUAAUCUUUUGGAAUGGUGGAAGGACAAAGAAAAAUACUUUUCGGUUCUUU